rnacentral:lncRNA from 1 species
CAAAUCCAUAUUACACAUUCCUAUAUACAUUAAUUACCAUAAUUAAAUACACCCAACCAACAUAGCCGUUGGGUGUUCUUCUAUAUAAACUUAUCUAAUCCUAGUUUAAGUUUAACACACGAUCACACACACAUCCACACACUCUGUAUUACAAUACAGACUUUGUGUUACUCUGUCUGAUCAACUCUGCAACUGGAAUUGCCAAUCAUCAUAACACAAAGUCUGUAUUGUAAUACAGACUUUGUGUUACUCUGUCUGAUCAACUCUGCAACUGGAAUUGCCAAUCAUCAAACGCUUCCGCAAUACAACAACUUGAAUCACAGAUUCAAGUUCAAUCACAUUCAACUCACUUCAACAAGCUGUGGAUCAUCGCUUCAUCAAUCGAUCAUCCUACAGUAUCAAUUUACAAUACAUUAUCAUAUCAUCAUACAUUCAUCGAUAAUUCAAUUCUUAAACCAUAUUUCAUAUUUAUAUUUGCAUAUAUUUCAAAUAUAACUUCUAUCAG